rnacentral:lncRNA from 1 species
GUAGGGACGCUGGUGACAUUGGGUCUGGGGAACAUCGGUGUCCCUGGGGUGUCCCAGGGUGGGUGACACGUGUUCAUGUCUCAGGCCUUGAGGGUCCUUUGCUGUCCCGAGCGUGGGGACUCUGGUGGCACCUUGGGGAAUCCACUGAUGGGAUGUCCCCAGGGACUGGGAGGUGAACAGGAUGUCCCCAGGAUGGUGACAGUGUCCCCAGGUGUGUCCCUGUCCCUAGGUGUCACACAGGUGUCCCUGCUCUCAUGUGUCCCCAGGUGCUGCAGGCAGAGCUGGGACCUUCCCCUUCCUUGGACACCUCUGGUGGCCCUUCAAGGUGUGACCCCAGUGUUCCCAAGUGUCCCCAUGGCCUCGAGUGGCCUUUCCAGAUUGUGCUGAGCUUCGAGGACCGGCAGGGCCUGGACUGGACCAUCCAGGCCUUGACCCCCAGAGCACAUGGAGGUACCUGAAAUCCACAACUGGACCCCAAAAAUGCACACCUGGAUAUAAAAAAAUACAUCUGAACCCCAGAAUACAAACCUGAACCCAAAAAUAUACACUUGGAACCCAAAAUUACACCUCAAAAUUCUAAAAAACACCCCAUAAACCCUGAACCCCCAAACGUGGAGAUACUUGAAAUACAUCUGAACCCCAGGGGUUUGGGGGGUCCUAGAGCUGUGACCUCCAUAUUUGGGGUUUUCCCAGGGCUGUGACCCCCCUGUUUUUCAGCUUUUCGGGCAUCUCAGGGUGGUGUUUGGGGUCCCAGGGUGGUGACUCCUCUGCUUUUGGGGUCUUGGGUUGUCCGAGGGUGAUGUUUGGGGGUCCCAGGGCAGUGAUUCCCGCCCCCCCCUCAAGGUGGAAGCCUCAUCCAUUUGUUCCCAAAUGUGGGUCCCCAAUACUGGGCGGGGUUCCCCAAAACCGGGGGGGUCCCCAAAACCUCUGGAGGGGGGCUCCAACCACCCAAGGCUUUGUUGUUAAUCAGUUUGAGACAAAUCAAUAAAGUUUGGGUUAAAAAUCCA